GAAACUCUCUGCACUUGUCCAAACCCUCAAAAGAAAAGUAUUAUGAUUCCGAUGAAGAAGAUUAUGAUUCCGAUGAAGAAGAUUAUGAUUCCGAUGAAGAUUCCCACAAUCACGUUCAGAACCAUGAUGGUUGUGAUCCCAUGCACUUUUGUGGCGAGUAUGAUUGUCCAAUCACCACCAUUUUACACGCUGAUGAUGCAGACAGAUUUCUGAAAACGUUGAAGUGGCCAGUAGACCACCAAGGCCAAACAUCAUGGACAUUGCACAUCAGAUGCUUAAUGAAA